AGGCCACUAUUCUUCCAACUUCUUAAUGGACCUUCCUCAGCCACCACCCAGUUCUGUGUCUCUGCAGCAUUCCUCCCAUAAUAUCUUCCUUGAAUACUUUCACUAUCAAUAAGAAAACCAGUGUCCUGGAAGAGUACUGGACUCCAAGAAGAUCCCUUUCCUUGCACAGUCAUCUGGAACCUUCUGCAAAUGUGCUAUGAAGGUUUGAAUAUGGUUGGCCAGUAGAAAGUGCUACUAUUAGGAGGUGCAGAGACCAGGGGUCACUGCAGGUCAUCAAAUAAUAGUAGCGGAAGAAUGAAUGAAGUCUAGGAUGUCCAGUGAAAAGAACACAAAUGAACAGAAGAAGCAUGCUCAACAUUGUCUUUGCAGCUUCUCUGUGAACUACCAGAUGAGGUUGCAGUGGUAAUUUCUCUAGUUUAAUGCUAAGUAAUGCUCCUUGACAAUAAAAAGUGUGUAGCCUGGAGAUGAAAAGGGAGGAAAAAAAGUAACCGCAAAUCAACAUGAACAAGGACUCCUAACCCUUGUCCUUGCUCUGUGUCCCACAUGCUCAGUAUAGACAUUAUUACUGCACAGUUGGGCUUUCAGGAAUUGCCUGCCAAUAUUGACAUUACCCCAUCCUAUAUAAGGAAAUCAAGGUGGAUUGAUGAACAAUCACUUUCAAAGCUAAUUAUUGAACCUGCAGGUCAGAGCUCUC